rnacentral:lncRNA from 1 species
CCAUCCGUGGGUCCUUGGAGCAGAGAAAUUUUCAGUUGGAACAGGGAGGGGCUCACGAUGCUCGGGAGGAUUUUUGCCUUGAUCCCCCUUUGCUUUUAUGUCGACCGCAUCAAACGUUGGGGCCAACGCGCCCAUAAGAUCCCAUCUCCGAUGAGUUGUACUUAGGUCGAUCGACACCCCCACUCCCACCGCAACAUAGGAUAUUUAUUCCAUCGAACUGUGCAAGCCGCGUGAUAGCUGGAUCCGAGCACCCGACCCUUCAUUCAUCCAACGAGGGCAGCUCAAAUGGCGUGUCCGUGUCCGGAACAAACCGGGCAUUGGGUUUAUUAGACCCACCAACAAAUCAAUCCGGAUAGGGCCCUUGACAGUGCAUCAUCUAGCUAACAUUCAACUAGCAUUUCUUUUUUUUAAUAAUCUUUAAGGCGGCCUGAACAGCUUUCCAGCUACGGCGAUUUCAAUCUUAUUUUUUUUUUAUUUAUCCUCACAAGCUCUCUAGAGAAAGAAAGAAAGAAAAAAAAAAAUCUUUAGGGGCCCCAUUAGAUUAAUCUUUGCGUGCUCGUAGAGAUCUAUAAGAUGGCAAGAACAUGAUGCUUCCGAGCAUGCACGGUCAAUUUGGAAAGUCAGACCAUGCACGCAGAGACAAUAAUAUAUGCAGAAGGUAUUAAAAAGUGACCCACACGUGUAUUACCAAUGUUUUGUCCCCCUUUUGAUUUGGUUUUGCCGCUGCAAUGUUCAGCUUAAUGUGCUAAACGUGUGGGCCUCGAGCGUGGCAUGCUAACCAGCUGGAUCGGGUUCGCGUUGGCUUUGGCUUGUUGUCCACCGAUCAAGAGCUUAUUUGUCAUUAAAUUUUCAUUCAAGAAAGGGAUAGGACAUCAGCUAUUGCAGUCCUGGCGACCGAUUAGUUUUUUAAUACUCUUAAAUGCUAAGAUCCAUCGUACGGUAAAAAUGGUUCGCCGGUGAUCGCUUGAUUUUGAAAAGCCAUCGCAAAGAAAGCAAAUCUGGAUGUGCGAUUUACGCAAGCAUAUUAACUAAAAUUCUAAUUAAUAGAAAUACCAAGCUGCAUUCUAUAUAAACUUCAAUAGAAAAAAAUAGUAUAGUGAGUAUAGAUAAGUACUCAAGGCUACAAUAAGAAAGAUAUAUCAAAAAGUGCAUUUAGAAAAGGAAAUUAAAAUAAAGCACGGUAAGUAUUACAUAUCGCUUGGUCAAUAUCACCCUCCUCCAUUUUUUGAUUAUCACCCUAACUUAGGCAUCGGAGGGUUCCCCACACGACACACUCCGUCAAGAGGAGUUCUGCAUCUUUACUGUUUCAGAUCAAAGCUUGGUUGCAGACUAGGACCCUGAACAUAACUUUCCACUUUAAAUCAUGGCCUCUCACGACCUGAGCAGCUCUCUGCCUAGCUCUCUAGCAUCUCUCUUCCUCGACACCUAGGUUAGGCCGAUCCUUAGAGGCAAUAGAUUGACACUAGAAGGAGGGUCGAGGUCUCAUCUUCGGAAAGCGAAUAGCCUGUCGCUGGGCACAAUCUACCUUCUAAUGCUCAGCCAAAUACUCCAGAGGAGUUCGACGGCUCUUUGUAGAGCCCAUGGAAAGCUCCAUUCCCACUGAAAUUGUAGGCGAACAUAGCAGUAACCCCUGAGCAAUUCAAACUGCUCAUGUAAUGGGUCAAGCACUGACUGCCGCUGCCCAAAAUCUGCAGCAGUCAGCCGCCGAUCAGUAGUAGAAGCGCAGGCUCGCGAGCCGAGUUGACGCAAAAUCCCGAUGCACUGGGUCAUCACACCCCUCCCCAGAGUUGACACAAAGUCAGCAUGCCCAUCCUCAAGGUCCCAACAAGGCCCUGCGUAGCCACCAUUUCUGAUCGUGGAGCCUUGCAUAAAAUACUCAGCACCGAUCUUCUAAUUCUCCCUUAUGAGAGGAGUUAGCAUCUAAUGUCUCCUCCCCUCAUCAAUUCGAGAAAGCCUCCAGGAGAGAGGCUGACCUCGAUCGCAAGUUCAAAGAGAUGGGCUGACUUCUUUAGGCCCUAAGGUAGCACCAGGAUGAGCAAGGGAGGGACGUGGAGUUCACCACUAGCUGGAAACUUAUGAUGGUACCAUGGACCCAUUGAAUCACCAGGAGAGUUUUAAAGCUCUCACGAUGCUUCGCGGGGCCGUCGUAGUUUCGUGUACAACCUUCUUGGCUAUGCUGUAGAAGACGACCCUAUUAUGGUACACCUUUCUAAGUUGGGAUAACCCAAGCGGAGGUUUCGGCUCUUGCGCCGAAGGCUUAGCGAGCUAACUGAUCUCCACAGAUCGAGACAACCCAAGCAACUGACUUUCGUGCUAAAGCUUGGCGAGCUAAUUGACCUCUUGCAGUAGGAAGCCCUCUCCGGAGAAGGACGAGUGAGCCUUCAACUUCCUCGAACCAUUCGUAGUCUCCCGAAGGUUUCAUCAGAGAAGGUCGAAAUGGAUCCAAUGGUUGAACGACCCCUCGGGCACACUCGAAGAAGAGUGGAAGUAAUGAAGGGUCACAGGGAUCGACCCAUUGUCUUGGAAGGCGAAUCCUAGCACUAUAUAUAGAAAGUGCGCAUGGUUGAGAUUUGGGCACCCAAGCUCGAUGGCUGACCACGUGGCCGAUUUCUAUGUCUUAGGAGACCCACAUUUAAUCCAAAAAAUAUUCCCUAAGAACUGAUUGCUGAGGUGGCAUCAUCUUAGGAUCUCGUUCAAAUACAGUUCAAUAAAUUCACACUACAAAAGUAUGUUUUGGGCUAUGAGUAUUAGUCAGUAUGAUGAUGCUUGUGCUUCUCGAGGAAAUGGAUAGAACCCAGCCGCAAAAUGACUGGGGGGUAGGCAUUAGUAUGCCUAUCGCAAUACCCUCAUCGGCCAACCUCGAGCAACCUCACCUCGAGUUAGAAAUGGACGUCUUGAUGGUCAAAGUGCCAAUAAGCCUUGCCCCAAACUGGGUAAGCCUUCGAACAGAAGUUUAUCAAUCAAACUAGACAAUCAGGCAAGUAGAUGCAAAAUGAAAAGAGAGCUUCAUUCAUUUAGAGGAGGAUUACAGGAAUAAUAGAGAUGAAAGAAAAGAUACAAAAUUAUAGCUUGUAAACACCUGAGCUAGAAAAUAAUACUAUUCCUCUCCCCUCUCUUCUUCUUCUUCUUCCUCCUCCUUGUUCUCUUUGGCUUCAUUCUCUGUCAUCUAGAAGGAGCCUCCUUCGUCAAAACUCUUCUCUGAGAAAGUGAUUGAACUGAGAUCAACCUUGAGGAGUAGUUUGCCAAUCCUCCCUCGGCAAAUGGUGAUGACAUUUAUGAAGGAGUCUUUGGUCCUCAGAAGUUUUGCCAUCCGCAACAGCAUGCUGGGCCUUUUUCUUUGCAUGGGAGGCUUCCUCCUUAGCCUAUGCCGCCUCUCUCUCGGUGAGGUCAGGACUUUCCUCAAAUUGGGCAGCUUUGCCAUCCACUCAAGUGAACUGCUCCUCAACCUAAGAGGUUCCAAACUUGGCCGUGGCGACCGCGUCUUUUAGAGGAGCAAUCUCCUCCCUGGCCUCCCUCUUGAUGGAGGCUCCUUCCUCACCAAUGGACUACUGCAUCCCCUGGAGCCAUGCUGCCAUCUGACCCAGCUUGGCCUUGGCAGCAUUGGCCCUAGCACCUAGGAGGUAGGCUCGUGCCUCCGCCUCCUCUCUCCUCUUCUCUGUCACUACCCGCUCCUCCUCAUUAUGGGCCCGGUUGCACUCUGUCUCUUGAAGGAAAUGGUCGGCGACCUCCAAUCUCUGCUAGUAAGAGCGAAUGACCUUGAUAAGCAUUUGAGCAGCAUACAUUCUCUACAAAUAUGAAGAGGGAAACAAUCACUCUAUUUAAAAAAAAAAAUAGAGAAGGAGGAGGCGGAUGCUCAGAAAGGAUAGGGUCAACCCAUUACCUCAAUGGUAGUGCAGUACAUUGAGGUGAGCACGCCUUCCAAUGGCCUUUUUCAUAGUUAUUCUUCAUCCUUAGGGAGCAUGAACUCUUGGACCAUGUCCCACAUGACUCAGGGGUCGCCCCGACGAAGUGCUGAAUCAGAGAUCCUCAUGGACCAAUUCAGGCAGAAGGCCCCUAGCUUUGCACUUCAUGGGGCAGGUUGGAAUGGAGAUGUUGACGUAUGAACGCCCCCGACGGUCCAGGCAAAAACUGGUUCAGAUGUCAUUGCCUAACGCAUAGUAGCAUUUGGGCCUAGUGUAGAAGGAUGAGACCCUCCAGGAUGGGCCAUCGAAGAUGGGGUUGCAUUUGGCACAACCGACAAAAUGGGGAUGGUUUCUAGAGCUAUUGUAAAAGAUGGAGUGACGACAAGGGCAACCACCAAAAUAGACUUAGAGGUAUCAGUGGGGAGAGCUCUCGGGUGGCCCCCAUGAUAGGAGAACAUAUAGAGAUGAGAGGGACAACAAUCACCUCUACCGCUAGCGAUUCUCCCCUAGUGGGCCUCUCCUCGACUCUAGUAGUGGAGCCCGAUGCAACAGAGGGCCCAGACUCAGCGGCAGAUGUGCUUAUCAUCACCCUCCUCCUCCCUCCUACUUGAGGAGGGACUAGCCUCUCCAGACCUCCUCUUCCUAAAAGAGUUGAAAAGCUCAUUCAUCUUGAACUUCAUUGCUAGAAGCGUGAAGACAAAUUAAAUCAAUCAACAGAGCAAUAUCAAUAAAAAAACAAAGCAAAGAAAGUAUACCAACAAUAGAAGUAGGGCUCAGGUCGGUGUUUACCAAAGCUGACUCCCAAAGUAGCUCGGUCAAAGUUGGUCCCCUAAUCUGGUGAAGGGCAUCAAUCGAUUCUUGUUCUUCAUUCGACAAAAGAGGGAAAAGGCUCAAUACCCACUUUUCGAGUGUCAUCCACCAUGUUGGAAAGCCCCAAGAAGCCGCAAAAAUUAGAAAAAAAAGGCCUUUCCAGCUGUGAAUGGACGAAGGACCCGAAGGAAGGACAUUUUAACUCUUUCUAUAGAAAAGGUACUACCACUCUUUAUUUCAGGGGUGAGCCAUCACUUAGAGAAAGGCUUGGAACACCCCACAGUAGGGACGUUCCUUUGGAGUUGAACGAAGCAAAAGAAUCCAACUAUCAUCCUCCAAGUAUUAGGGAUGAGCUGAGUCAGGAUGAGUUGAUAUUGAGCUAACAACUCGACAACAACAAGGAGAUCGGGAGCCUCAAACUUGCCUUUAGAGAUUCGUCAAACAAGGUGACCUCAGGGUGGGUUCCUUUUGAGGCCGCAGAGGCUUGAUGGGGGGAACCCUGACCUACAUGUUUAGCAUUGGUAGACCAGCCUUCGACGGAUGAAUCCAUGAGCAACAUGGCAAAGAAGGAUAAAAGAAGGCGAAAGAAAUGGAGAGGACCCAAAAUUAGCCAAAAGUGCAGAACUAUCUAUCGAGAACUAGAGAAAAGCCUUAGUAAAAAGCAAAGAAGAUGGAUCUUGGUACGAAGGUUCAAAAGGAGUAGCCGCGCAACCUUGUGCUUAUCAUCUUUCUUUCUAAGUUUCAGAGCAAAAGGGACGAAGUAGAAAGGUUUAUCACCCAUCUAUUCUAUUUAUAAGGGACUUAGGUGACCUAUGCCAAUACGAUGCCUCACCAACUUUGACCGUAUGUCCCCUAAACGUUCGCCCUUGAGCGACCUCUCAGAUCAUUGUUGGACUCCAAGAGUCCAUUUAGCAUGCAUACAUCUCCUUCAUAAUUGCAAUGCUUCGGAAACGGCAAGGACGACCAUGCCUUUCAUAAAUGUAGAAUCUGAAAAAUCUCCACACUGGUACCGAAAGGACAGCUACAAAAAAGUGACUAUGAUGAUCACCUGGGUUUGUAGGCAACCUUCGCUGGUUGGCUCUACCAAAGAAAUUACUUCCGUAACCCAAGCCAGCGGCCUUGGCUUGGCUACGGAAGUGGGAGGUAAGUAAUGUACCUCGAGACCGACCACAAUUCAUGCGAAGGGCCGGCCAACUAAUGCCCGCCACAAAGCCUCUGAAUCGACAACCAAUGUCUAUCACAUGGCAGGUCUAGAAGUGCAUGGAAGGCUCUUUGAAUUUCAAACAAUUCCUAUGGCCACACCUCGGCCAUAAUUUUGAGAGGUUUCUAAAAUCGCGCUAGCGAAGUGGGCAGGACGUGAUCCACGUGUGAAACGCUCAUGCCUGAUUCUCAGAAUGUGUGGAGGCCUGUCAAUCCCGGUCGACCCACUUGCUCGAAUUCUUGGGUGAUAGGUGCUCAUCUUUGCCUAUACAAUCUACUAUCCGAAGGAACUUCUAGGUAAGUGCUUUGUAUCCUCAUAGACCACUGAGAAUCUCUUCUGUUCUCUGAGUGUUGCUUUGACUUAGGUAUUGGAAGUCUCUCAUCGGACACAUUUCGGCAAGAGGACUUCUUCAUUUUUUGCUGUUUUAGGUCGAAGCUUAGUCGUUGAUCAGAAUCCUGGACACAACCUUUUACUCUAAAUCGUAGCCUCGCACGACUCGAGUAGCUCUCCGCCGAACUCUCUAGCAUCUCUCCCGCUCGGCAUCUGGGUGAGGCUGCUUCACAGUGACAACAGCUCCAAUUCCGCUGGAACAAAAACAUAUCGAUCUGUUCCCAUGGAAAGAGCCUUCCUCCAACGUGAAAUGAGGAUGAUAAAGUCUAUGCGAUCCUUCCCCACGGAAGAGCUCUAGCUUGCUCAGAGGAAUGUCCCCUUAGAGAUAGGCAAUCAGUCCACUAAUGUCUCCGAAUUUAGCCAGAACAUAUCCAUGACUAGCUGGCGGCCACCAUCCUAAACAACAUAAUGGAGAUAGUAAGCUGUCGCUAGCUUGGCGUUCCGAGAUGUAUCAAUGUCCAGGCUUGUCCGGCAACGGAGGGCCUUUAUGUUUAGUUGAGGGUGACCCGUAAAGGGUGCCUUGGGUCGGUCAGUUCCUCCCCCCACGAUACCACAUCCAAAUCCCAAGGGGCACAAACGCAAUGAAUAUAAAUAUUUUUUUGGUUUACAAUAGAACAUGAAGCCCACCAGGGGUCGGGAAUCCAACUCCCCAGGCAUACGCUGGGUUCAUCCUCUUCAACUCAUUAGUCUAAUCAUCGUCAGGAAUAUAAUAUUGUUAUAUCAAGAGUGCGUUUGUGUACCAUCCAUACACAAAGAUGAAAAGAAAAGUACGAGAGGAUAAUUCCUUAAAUCUAGACGUAGGGGCCCCACUGUAACAAGAGAACAAACAAGGACCCCACAUGUACGAAGCUUGAGCUAGAGAAGGCACAUCGCCUCCGUAUACACAAAUAUGCGUGUAACGUUUUUGUCAAACCAUUUGAUGCAUUUUAAAACAUAAAAUUUUCUAUUUCCAUGUGCCUUACAGAGAUUUAGCUAGAACAGGCGCACCGACUAUAUAUUAUAUUUUUUGUCAAAUUAUCUAAUGUAUUUAAAAAAAAAAUAUUUUUGCAUGCCUGACAGAUUUUGCUGGAAAAGACACAUCAACUAUAUAUUAUAUUUUUUUUCAAAUUAUCUAAUGCAAUUUUAAAAAAGAAACUCUCUUCUACCACUAUUUUUUUUUUUAAGCCCGAUAAAGCCCACCAAGUGAAUAUUAUAUUUUUGUCAAAUUAUUGACAUAUUUUUUUUAAAAAAGAAACUCUUCCACAAAACGCGUGCCAUCUGAAGACUGAAUGUGGCGUGGAAAAAUGUUUCCUCGGGGAAGGAGAAAGCAAACCCCGGCAGCUGGAGCGGUGGGCCCACGGCAUCCCUUCGCACCAAACAAAUAAAAGGGCCCUCUAAUUAUUCUAUUUGCUCCAAUCCGUAAAUAGAGGGAGGGGAUUUUUGCAUACUUCAAUUCAUUGACUUCCCUGAACUUAUUUUGGUAUAUGUACGACGUCACAUGCCGGGGGAUUGGGAUUGUGUGAUUCUGCUGCAAGGAAAAGGUGGUGGAAACAGGUCCUGCUUUCCCUGAGCAAUAUCAUUGUCCCUAUCAGCGCUGCUGACCGUUCAAUGGAUACGGUUCUGAUGGACAUGCAGUCACGUGGUGAUGGAUGGCCCUUCCAAUUAUAUAUGGUAUUUGGACUUGAAGGACAGAUCGAUCGCGGUCCCUCGGCCAUGGAAUGGAAUGAAACCCUCCAUUUCCGUCCAAAGGAAUACAGCUGUUCGGAGAUCCCCCCCCGGGCCCGGGACGUACGUCAGUCGGAAUUAAGCAGAAGGAAUCCUGAGGUUGGUGGCUGGUGACGAUCAUGUUUAUAGAGGCUUCGGUUCUCCUCCUUUUACCAUCGGUAGUCUCCCUCGCAGCUCCAGUCCUCUCACGUCCAAUCUAAAAAAGGAUGCUUCCAAUGAUGUGGAUGGACGUCGGAGAGGUUCACAGGUCGCCACACUGCACUUGUUGGACCACGACCAUACAAUACUCACCUGUACUCCCACCUCCUAAAAUGAUAGAUAUUAGAUAUAUUGUGUUUGCUUGAAAUGACUUCCCACACUCUCCUCGCCUCUGCACGCGCGCGCGCACACGCACCAAAAAAAAUAAUAACUUGCAUGUUACCUUCUUAGCAAUUAGUGAAAUUCUUGGACUUCCUACCUUUUUUUUAUAGUAGAAGAGACAAGUUUUUUCCCUCUUAAUAUUCUCUCCUCUUGAUCAGUAUAUUGUGGAAACUCGAUCCCCUUGAGUCUAAUCUACUGCCACUCUCCGGUCAAGCUCCAUUCUCUCCACAUGUUAAAAGCAUACACAAUUAAGCUUUGAGCCCAAUCAUUAAUUUAUAUCAACCCAUCUACCUCCCACUAAUUAAUUAUUCCAUAUAGAAAUAAAUCUCAAACACGACUUCAUCUACUUCCCACCAGUUAUUCCAUGCAGGAUUAAACCUCAUAUGUGAUUCUUAAUAUUUCCCCCCUUCAUGUAUGAGUCAAUUUAACUAUCCCUUGAACCGAACACAAUACUACUCUCAAAUCAAGCUUUGCUCCUAGUUGCUUUCCGGUGCAUCAUGUAUGUUUGCUAUUGCCCAAGAGCCCGUUCUCCAGGAGCCACGUUGCACUCCACCAAAUGUGUUACUGCUAUAGUCUAAGAAGUUUACUCCUCAAGAGCCACGUUUCAAGCUCCAUGCCUAAUUACUCUACCAUGUGUUAUCGCUAAACCAAAGAGCUCACCCUGCAAGAGCCAUAAUACACCUCAUAUAGUGCGUCCACUCUAGUCUAGAAACCCGCUCUCGAAGAGCCACAUUUCAUGCCCAAUUACUUGUGCAUGCGCCGCAUCUUACCGCUACAGUUCCAGAGCCCACUCUUCAAGAGCCGCAUUAUACUUCACCCAAGUGCCCACAAUCUAAGAGCUAGAAUAACUUCAUCUAGUGUGUUGUCGCUCCAAUGCAAGAAUCCCACUCUUCAAGAUCCAUGUUCCAUGCUCAACACCUAGUUACACCAUGACUCUAUUCAUUAAUCUACAUUUUACCAUUCUCUGCAGGAGCCAUCAAUUCCAAUGCCUUUGCAGCAUUAAGAGUUUCGAAGGAUUGUUAGCUAUCGGCUCUAAUAUCCCGUUGAUAAUAGAUGAGGAGUCUGAGUCAGACUAGAAGAAGGCCUUGAUAUAUAUGUCGAAGCCCAAAUUCAACUUAAAACUUUAGUUGCCAAGUUUGGACGCAAUCAUCUAUGUGACAACCCAAGUGCUUGCCUAAAAACGCUAUGUGAAAGUUGUUGUUUGGAUUUCUUGACCCUAUAAAAGUGCUUAAGAUUUAUCUAGUGCAUAACUAAUGUAGAAUUAAAUACAUGCCUAUAUGGAUCCUUACAUACUCUUCUGUUUGAGUCCUAGCAUCCUCACAAGGCUAAGGAUCCAAAUCCAAUCAAAAUCCAAUUACAAAUAUUAUGAGCGACUCAUGGUCAGAUCUAAAAAGAUCUGUACUGCAGUGUCCUCUCGUCCAUAUGGACCAUAGAUUAUGUCCGCUCUAAUACCAUUUAUAAUGAUCUAGGGCAUCGUCCAAAAAGACUAGUUGAAAGAUAUUAUUUAUAUAUAAGAUCUAAAAGCUAUCCAGUAUAUAACUAUUGCGGGACUAUUUAUAUGGCUACACGGUCCUCAUAAUUUAUGUCAACUAAUUAUCUGCCUCUCAUUAAUUAUUUCAUGCAGGACAAAAUGUAAUUAUAGGUGAUCCUCAACAGGUUCGAGCCAUCUUACUAAUUCUCUAAAGAUAUCUCACAAUUUCAUAGAACCAAAUUCGGUUGCAUUACGCGUACGUUCAUCUAUCUCUAUUGCUUCUAUAAUAAAUUCUAGAUGAUAAAACCAUUGCCUUACUGAUCAUUUCAAACAGUCUAAUAAAGAAACCUUCAAAUCUUAUUCAUUAAAGUGGGCAUGGGAGGAAAGGAAAAGAAAACUCGGUAUCGAGCAUCCAGCAUUAGUUGACACCACAUGUGAUCGUGAGCUGUCAGAUAUAAGUGAAAGCAUUUUUUCAGACAUGUCACGAGGCCCCCCUCACGUUUGCUUGCAAGGAAGAGGCAAGAGUUGGAAUCGAUCGAACACUUGAUGCGAAAUAGACUCCAGAUAAUUACAUCAAAAAAAUUAGGCCAGGAAUAAAGGCUUGCUUCGGAUGUGUCCCAAGAUGCCCUCACAUUUUCUCCCCCUCAGUAGGAAAGGGGAAAGAGCCAACUCAGGGCUGAGAAGUCAGCACAAAAGGGUACUGUUGAGACACGGGUAGGGGCAUCGAUCCUUCUCCACACUCUCACGGGCGUCACAAGAUGUCUCCUAUAUUCUCCGCUUGCCCGCUGCGGGGUAGAGACCGUGUUGUCCCUUCCUUGUAAGCAUGCCUGCCUCCGGUCUUUACCAAACACACGCAGAUAAUCACAACCACUAGUUAUUUUUGUGGUAGUGCACCAAGAUAAAUGCUUGAUGAAUAAAGCCUAAAGAAAUAAGCGAUUGUAAUUGGCUGCAUGUAUGGCCAUAUGGCAUAUGUAGUAUGAGGACCCGUGCGGACGUAUGUUUAUUCCCAUAUCGAUUAUUUGCUAGAUAGAUCUUGGAUACUUAUACAGGAUCAAUGAGCCUAAAUAAUAUCUUCCAGCUAGUCUUUUUCGAUGAGGCUCUGGGUUGUGACAAAUGGUAUCAGAACGGACCACGUACCAAUCCAUCCCUGUUCCAUAAAGAUUGGUGUCCUUUCUUUAAGAUUUUAAUUAAAAUAUGGGCUGCCAUUGAUUGCGUAUGUUAUACUAGUUGCGAAAAACGGGUUGAAAGUAAUUCAGAUAGACCCAAAUAAUCACAAUAGAUCUGAGAUUUGCACCACUGAUCUCAACCCAAACAAUCCUAAUACUACAGAAAGUUUAGAACACCCUAGAUCUAAACAAUAUAUAUCGCAGAAAUUUUAAAACUUCCUUAGAUCUAAGAUAUAGGUUGCAGAAAUUUCAAACACCCCUAGAUCUACAGUGUGGGUAUUGCAGAAAUUUUAAAUAGCCAUAGAUCUACAAUAUUCUCCAUAAAUCAACACCCCAAAUAUACAAAAUCAGAUAUGGAAAUUUUCUUCAGUUUGGGAACGUCACCUCUGAGAGAUUUUUUUUGCUUCACUCUCUUUGUUUAUGGUUCUUAUAAUUUUUUAAAAAAGGCUUUAUAUAUUGUUUGAAUUAUUAUGCAUAUUUGAGUUUUUGAAUUUUGCAUGGAUGGUGCCACCAAAGUGGUUCAUUCAUUCCAAUUUUUGGAAUUCUUUCAAUAAGGAUUAUGGGAAGCUUUUUUAAUUUUAUAGCGUGCCAUUACCUACUCAAAGGAGGUUAAUUGUGUGCGUUAAUUUUAAAGGUAGUGUAAGUUAUUAGUAAGGGUGUUUAUUGACUCUCAAGAAAUCUAUCUACCCACAAGGUGAUAGUUUUUCUAAGGAGUCAUUCUUACUAAUUGACUUGUUAAAAGUAUUUAGAUGUGUCCUAUAUAUUCAGCCCAAAGAUAUUUAUAUACUGUGAUGCAUUUCAAGCCUAUAAGAAUAUUGCUAAAAUUUAUUUUUCAGCAUAUUCUUGGAAUUAUUAUCAAUGCUCAAAUAUAGCUAAUUAAAUUCUAUGUUGAAUUUUAUUUUUAUUUCAGCCACUGCUUGUAGAUCUGUGGAGCACACGAUGGCUCUCCCUGUGGCCGCCCAGACCAGUCUAUCUCACGAAGUGCCAUGAGGUAGCGUGAUAGUAAGAAUGCUCUCUGCCAGUUGCUCCCCAAAUGCCUUCUUGAUCCGCACCUCGUCCCACCUGCCCUCACCGGCAAUGAACAAGUCGCAGAUUCUAGAACCGACCAACCUCGCUGUAUCAACCAUUGUCAGCAUCUGGCUAAGCGGUUGCUCAGUCACCCAUCUAUCCUCUAGAACGUCAAUGGACUGUCUAUCUCCAAUAGCCCACCUGAUCGCCUCAAACAUAAUCGAGGCAUGUGAGCAGAUCUUCCUUCAUAUGAAGAAGCAAUGACGUCCCACCUAUAAGCCAACCACCACCGUAUGCGCACCAUACUUGGCCUGCAUCAUAACGCUCCACAAGUUGUCAUGCUCCAAGAUAAACCUUGUGGCGCGUCUCGUAGCUAGUACCUAGCUUCCGGCUCGCCACCAGUGACUGGACCCCCAAUCCACCCUAUCUGGGUGCCUAGCAGAGCACCUCCCAUGCCACUAUAUGAACUCCUCCUCUGCCCUCUUGUCUGCCCUAGACGAAUUCCUGAAUAACUGCUCGAAUGACUGCAAAAGUGAUAGUGGCACAAGGGUAUUUGUUGGCAGGUACACCAGUAUCAAAUUCAGCACCGACCGAACUAAGGUGACUCUGCCCAUUAUGGAGGGAGUAUCCAUCUACCAUCCCUCUAAUCUAUGUUUGAUACCCAACUCGACAUCGGAACAGUCCAUACAACAUGAUAUUCUUGGAUGCGGAUGCCAUAUUCAUAAUUACUGCAUAGAGACAUAGUACACACAAUAAAUAGUAGCAUAAAGAAAAUCCAACAUGACACACACAUGCAUAUGUAUAUAGUAAAAACAAACUAAACGAAUGAUAAGCUAACAUAAGACACCAAAUUGAAAAUUCGCUAUACUUCCAAUCAUCUUCCAUAUUCAAAUGCCUAGUCAUCAUUCAUUUAGAACCGUUUGCACAAAAAAAAGAGUCCAGGUGAGAACUUUCUUUGAAUUCUACCAAACUUAGAACUCCCGCUCAAUAAUAUAUUUAAGCACGUUAUGACAGCAAUUAAUAAAUAAAUGUAAGGUAAAAAUACAUAACAUACCAUUAAUAGUUGCAAAUUAAAUUCAUACAUAGUCAUAUGCACAAGAGACUAACGACAAUAGUAGGAAGUUUAAUAAAUAAAUUUUAAGGCACAUACUUUACAAUCAGACAAAGUAUUAUUUCAAAGCAUAAUUCCUGCUAAGUCUUCUAUGCUCUUGAUAUGAUAAUCUAUUCUCAUGUUGAAAAAAAACUGCUAUAAAAUGAUCUUGUGUCCCUCUCUACCUAGCCAUAGAUCCAUAGGAUCUUUAUCACAUCCACAAUAGCACAAGUGGCUUGCACUGCAAAGGUUUGGAAAUUGAGAUAAUAUUGCAGUUCGCCUUAUCCCAAACAAUACACAAUGCUCCUCAGCCAACUCAAGUUCAUAGACCAUUUUGUAGAAAGUUUUAACUUCUUGCUUUCUAUAUUUUUCCCAUAGAGCGAGUGCUAGGAUUUCCUAUUUUGUUGUGAGAAAAUUGAGCAGAGUAAUAAUUUAUUUCCAAAUAGGGACAUCAAUGCCAUAACCUCCAACAGAUCUUAUUAAAUUGCAUAAUCUUCCUAUGUGCAUUUGCACAGUGUAUUUAGUGUUCAUAUUAUCAUUUCUGAAUUCUUAAAAAAUAAUAUGCAACUAUUUGCUUGUUUUUCACUACAUGCAUAUGAGAGAGAGUAUUAAUAUAUAUGUAUGCAUGUUGAAUGUUAUACUAACAUUGUAAUAUUUAGCAACGAAUAUCAUGCAUAAAUAUUCUUCUUUAAAUAGAAUUUAUUUUCUCUUUUUCAAUAAUAAAAAAAUCAAUUGUUUAAACUCUGUUUGAGAAAAGAAGGAAGAAGAAUGUAAAAAAAGUUUUUUGUAUGAAUACCCAUCUAAAAAUUCAAAUUUGCGUGAAUACUCUCUUAAAAUUUAUAUUUAUUUCUAUACCCUCAUAAAAUACUGUUUUUGUAUAAAUGUCCCUAAUAUAACGGUUCUUCUAACAUCGUUAAUAAAAACUAUAUUAUUUUAAUAAAAAAUAAAAAUUUUUGAAAUUACUUUUUUUAUCUUUCAUCGCGAUCAUCUUAUAAAUGUUUGUGUUUACACAUCUACCCAUUAAAGGCAUUUUAGUCAUUUUAAUUUAAAACCGUUAAUUUUUUAACGGCAUUAGAAGGCGUGGGUGCAUAUGAAAAAUAAGGAUUAAAAAAGGUAGAAUAGCAAAACAAGUGUUUACGAGGAUAUACAUGCAAAUAUCAAUUUUGGAAGGAUAUUCAAAUAAAAUUUGAUAUUUAGAAGAACAUUCAUCUUAAAAAAAAAAAAUUAUUAAAGAAAUUAUUGGUAUGAUGCACGACGCCCAGACAAGAGCUGAUGUGCACGAUCGUGCGGAAACGGGCAAGCCUAGCCACAUGGCACACGGGCGCGGAAAGCCUAGCCGCGUGGUUGCGCACUGUCACACGCGGCCUGUCACACGCGGGGCCGCAUGCUGAUCCGCGUGGAAAAGAUAUAUGAAAUCUGAGAACUUUCCCAUAGUACCAAGAUAGAACGCAAAAUUCAUCGUAUAAAAAGAUAAAUGAAAUCAAAGUUUCGGCUUUUUAAUCAACGGAUGGUAAUAUCUUUCACUACAAUGAAUGUUGGGCCAUGAGAUUUUUCAGAUUUCAAUACCUCAUAUAGGACUACAUAUUCCUACAAAAUCUCGGCCUAACUCAAGAUAUAGUAAAUGUUGCUAUUAACAGGGUUUCAAUCAACCUUGAUUUGCAAAAUAAGGGAAUAAUGAAUGUAAUAGUAAUACUGAGACUUCUUUAGCAUAUCAAAAGCCAAAAAAAGAUCAUGAAUUCAACCAACAUCGCUAUGAUACCAAUGAUAAACAAAAGAGUACUUAAUAAAAAUUUAAAUUUUAUGAGUUACCUCAAAAGUGUGCAAAAUGGAACUCCUAGGAUCCGAGGGAUUGAACCACAUAUUUUUCUAUUUCUGGAAUAUACACUAAGUCAACUGUGCUAUCACAAUGGAAAGCACAUAAAAAACCACAAUUCAAGUGCUUUUGGUGCAAGAAUAAGAUGAAAGGGAGUUUUUUUUUUUUUGCUAAAAAAGUGGGGGAAGGGAGGAGGAAGGGACAAGCCCACCCCCGUGUAGCAGCCCCCACUGGGCCCCCCACCCUGCCAGGAGAAUGUUCGAUGCGGGCAAACCGGGUCGUAUGUUGGGCACGCCGACCUAUUUUACUUAUAUCCUCCCCACCCGUGAGACGGCUCGGUUACCCGACUCGACCCUCCGUGUGAGUACGUCACACCUGGCACCACCCAGGCUACCAGCCGACCAGUAGCACUUCCAGACCCCAUGUCCAGGCGUGGAGCAUUCGGUCCCCAAAUUUAAUCGACGCCCACGCGUUUCGAACCUGGAACCACUUGGUUGGAAGCAAACGCCCCGUUCCAACUAGG